rnacentral:rRNA from 1 species
CAUGCGAGUCCAGAGCUUUCGGAGCUCGGCGUACCGCUCAGUAACACGUGGGUCUACCUUACCUAUGCAGGGGAAUAACCUCGGGAAACUGAGUAUAACUGCCCCAUAGUCCACUACGCCUGGAACGGUGAGGGGAUUAAAGCUUCAGGCGGAAUAGGGAGGGGCCUGCGGCGUAUCAGGUUGUAGGGGGUGUAAAGUACCCUCUAGCCAUCUACGCGUACGGGUGUUGGGAGACAUAGCCCGGAGAUGGAUUCUGAGACACGAAUCCAGACCCUACGGGGUGCAGCAGGCGCGAAAACUUGACAAUGCGAGCAAUCGUGAUCAGGGAACUCCAAGUGGCUGGGGUAAGACCCAGUUUUUUUCAUAACUUCUUCAAAGGUGGUAAGAAUAAGGGGUGGGUAAGGGACGGUGCCAGCCGCCGGGGUAAUACCGGGCGCCUCAAGUGGUAGGCCCUUUUAUUGGGGCCCUAAAAGGUCCGUAGGCGGGUUGGGACAAUCCGGGGGAAAUCCACCUGGUCAACGAGGUGAAUUCUGCAAGGACGGCAGACUUGGACCGGGAAAGGUUGGGUAUUUUAGGUAGGGUAAAAUCUGGCUCUCUGAAGACCCUGUUG